rnacentral:lncRNA from 1 species
CACUAUUCUCAGACAACGGAAAGCUACAAGACAGCAUUUGGCCUCUUGAAACAGAAAUAUCCAUUCUGUUUUGGUGGCUUACAUACCCCACAGUCAUUCAUGACCGACAAUUCAGCGGCA